rnacentral:rRNA from 1 species
GUCCACGCCGUAAACGAUGAAUGCUAGGUGUUGGGAGCAAAGCUCUUCGGUGCCGCCGCAAACGCAUUAAGCAUUCCACCUGGGAGUACGUUCGCAAGAAUGAAACUCAAAGUAAUUGACGGGGACCCGCACAAGCGGUGGAGCAUGUGGUUUAAUUCGAAGCAACGCGAAGAACCUUACCAGGUCUUGACAUCCCGAUGACCGGCCCGUAACGGGCCUUCUCUUCGGAGCAUUGGAGACAGGUGGUGCAUGGUUGUCGU